UACAGAGGUCCCAAGCGUUGUUCGGAUUCAUUGGGCGUAAAGGGUGUGUAGGUGGCGCCGUAAGUCGGGUGUGAAAUCUCGGGGCUUAACUCCGAAACUGCAUUCGAUACUGCGGUGCUUGAGGACUGGAGAGGAGACUGGAAUUUACGGUGUAGCAGUGAAAUGCGUAGAGAUCGUAAGGAAGACCAGUGGCGAAGGCGGGUCUCUGGACAGUUCCUGACACUGAGGCACGAAGGCCAGGGGAGCAAACAGG
rnacentral:rRNA from 1 species